UACGUAGGGACCAAGCGUUGUCCGGAAUCAUUGGGCGUAAAGAGCGUGUAGGCGGCUUGUUAAGUCUUGCGUGAAAUCUCGGGGCUCAACCCCGAGCGGUCGUGAGAAACUGGCAGGCUAGAGUGCGGGAGAGGAGACUGGAAUUCCUGGUGUAGCGGUGGAAUGCGCAGAUAUCAGGAGGAGCACCGGUGGCGAAGGCGGGUCUCUGGGCAGUAACUGACGCUGAGGAGCGAAAGCGUGGGGAGCGAACAGG
rnacentral:rRNA from 1 species